rnacentral:tRNA from 1 species
CGGCACCUCGGUGGCGGCGUUGUAAUAGCCGGUGCUCGGGGCGCUGGUGAUGACUGCAGUGCCGGUGCUGCUGGUGCCGCC